GAAAACCCUCAACCUCAAUCUCUCUUCACGUCUCCCUCACAUUUUGGCAAACCCUCAACCUCUCCUCCCCUCAGUUUGCACCGGUUCCCCCACCUCUAUCUUCCCUCGAGUCUCAAAAUCAUAACCUAGUUGUCGCCGCUAGGCUCGCCCUUGUCGCACAUAUGCUCACCGCUCAAGCUCUCACCACACUUGUGCUCGUCACAACCUCAAACACAGACCCUUGAGAUCUCCUGCAAUUCUAAGAAGAUUCAUUGUAGAUGUUAUGUUGAAGCUCCUUCUCUCGAAGCCCCAACACAUUGUUUGGUUUUAGGGUUUCUGAACCCACAAGCACAAGAGGGUGCUUCAACUUUGGGACUGAUUAUUCUGUGUACUGGGUGGAGUGAACUUAAUUCCCUAAAUCUGCCUACUAACAUUUGAAAUCUAUGAUGGGGGUGUUCAAGAUGUUGGUCUUGAUGAAUAUGAGAUGCAGCUUACUAAGGUACUGAUACAACAGCUACACAAGCAAUGGAGGGGAAUGACAUUCAGGGUCUUCCAUGGGAGAGCUUAAACAUAACGGGGUGAACAAUGCAGGAAUCAAUGGGUUCAGCACACAUAAUAUGGUUGAUAGGAAAAGUGGAUGCAGCUCACCGUCACAAGUGGAUAUAGAAAUAACCUAAUGAUCAAGAAAUCAACUUCUUAGCAUGGCACAAUUCAGCACUCGGUUUGUUGAUGGAUUUCAUCUUGAACUUGCAUUGGUACAAAUCUUAUCAUUCAAAGUGUUCCUCUACCAUAUCCCUGUCGUCAUAUGGAUUAUACGGUUAAUUGCUCCCUAUCAAAGUUAACUGGGCAUAUGCUAGUGGCAGAGAAAAGAUACAUCAGGUUGGUCCAGAAUUAGAUAUAUAGAUAUUUAUGUUUGAACAAAAUAUGUGCCCCUUUAGGAACUUUUAGCAAAGACAUUAUGAUAAUGUAUUACGAUAUUAUGAGAAUAUGUAUGUUUCUUUUUUGAACAAAAUGUAUGUUUCUUUCAUGUGGUACUAGCAUGUAGAAGACAUAUGUCGCUGAGCUGCUUAUAAAACUAAUGUGGAAUUUGUUAGAGGGGACAUAAGGUUCAUAGUUUUUUGCUCUAAAAAUUGUGUAUUCUAUAUACUAAAAUGAAG